GGAUGUGAGGGCCAUCUGGCUGCAACAUCUGUUACCCCAUUCAGCCCCAGGGUUGACUUGGCUGAUCUGGUUGGCUAGGCGGGUAUCCUCUUCCUCCCUCACUGCUCCAUGUGUGUCCCUCCCAAAGCUGAGUGCUCAGUGGAAGAGGAUGACUUCGGGGAUCACUGAAAUGCACAGAAUCAUCAGG
rnacentral:snRNA from 1 species